ACGCCUGGUUGGUUGAACGGCAGAAAGGAAACUCAUAUCCACAGUCGCCCCAUCAGACGACACGUAUCUGUUGGAGGACUCGAUUCCUUGGCUUUGUCAUCUUGGAUCCAUCCCAUGAAGAAACUCCUUCCUCAUUAACAGCACAACGAAGUCCAAAAACCAUGGCUCCACCAAAUAGUAAUCUUUUUGCCUCAAUAGACAUGGGCACCAACUCCUUCAAAAUGUUAAUAGUCCAAGCAGACCCAUCAGGCAAAUUCCUCACCAUUGAUCGCCACAAGAACCCUGUAUGCCUCGGUCGCGACUCUUCCACUUCCAUCUCAGCGGAAUCCCAUCUUCGUGCCCUCCAGUGCCUUCAAGAAUUCAACCAAAUCCUCAAAUACAAUAACAUCUCUCCCUGUAGUAUCCGCUGCGUCGCCACUGCAGCAGUGCGCGAGGCAGAUAACGCAAUCGAGCUGAGAAAGGCAAUACAUCAAAGUACUGGAUUAGAUGUCGUUGUUUUGUCUGGUGAAGAGGAGGCAAGGUUUGUGUACUUGGGUGUACUUCAGUUUUUACCAGUUUUUGGGAAAAGAGUUUUGGUUGUGGAUAUUGGAGGUGGGUCUACAGAAUUUGUCAUAGGGGACAGAGGAAAUGUUAUUUUGGGGGUCUCUUUGAAGUUGGGGCAUGUGGGUUUGACUCAGAAGUCACUUAGUAGUGGUAAUGUUUCGGACAUGAGAAAGUUUGUCAAGUUAGUUAUAAGAGAAUCCGGGUUGAUUGAGAAAGUUAAGGAGUGUGGUUUUGAGGUGGUUGUUGGGACUUCAGGGACUGUUAGGGCAAUUGAGGAAGCUAUUUUUUAUGGUUAUGGACAAGAUUUGGUUGAUAGUAAUGAGGUUUUGUUCAGGAAUUGUAAUAGGGAUUGGAAGUUUAGCAGAGGAGAGUUGAGGAGUGUUGUUGAUAGGUUGUGUAAGGAAGGAGUGGCAGAGAGGAUUCAGAGAGAUAAGUUUUUCAAGAGAAGAUCAGAGUUUAUUGUUGCUGGUGCAGUGUUAUUGGAGGAGAUAUUUGAGGUGAUUGGAAUUGAAGAGAUGGAGGUUUCUGGGUAUGCAUUGGGAGAGGGUGUUAUUGCUGACACUUUGGCUAAAGUGUAUCAUGGUUACGACUUGAAUCCUAAUGUGAGGUGGACUUCUGUUGUAAGGUUUGCGAUGAGGUUUAGUGACAAGAAGAGAAUUAAAUCAGCAGCAAAAUGUGCUAGCGUUGCCACUGAGAUUUUUCAGGGCUUGAGAAAAUGGAUAGAGGUUGCUGACAAUCAACCUAAAAUUAAUCUCCACUUGGCUGAAAAGGAUCUUGAAUGUCUUGAAGCUGCCUGUUUACUUCACAAUAUAGGGCUUUCCACUGGUAAAAAAGGUUACCAUAAGCAGACUUAUCGAAUAAUUAUGAAUAAUGAUCAUCUUCAUGGAUAUAGCGCUGACGAGGUCAAGUUAAUAGCACUACUUACAAGGCAUCACAGGAAGAAAUUCCCAGAAUCUGAUCAUUCCAAUUUGAAGGAGAUUCCUGAAGUGUUGAAGAUGAAAUUCAGAAUUCUUUGCAUCAUCAUUCGGAUAUCAGUCAUAUUACAACAAAAUGAUUGUUUGAACUUCCAAGAUGUGGAAGUUCUACAUUCUCACGAAGGAUUCAAACUGAUAUUCAGGCAAGCUGGGAACAAAACUGCUUUACCUGUGGGAGAGGACAUGGAGAGAGAACUGAAAAAGGAAUUAGCACAAUUCAACAUUGUAUUCCGGCAACAGUUGUUGGUUGAGGGGCAGUUGUGCACUUCAGAAUCAUCAAAAAGCUGAAAAUACUAUCACAAUGGACGUUAGUCACUCACCGUAUAAUUGAAACUUAUAUAGCUUAUACACUGGAUCUCGUUAAUUAUAAAGGGGAACUGGGGAGAUGAGGAAUAUAACAUGCAAAUUCAUAUGCUGCAUUGCUUGCAUAUGGACAUGACUACUAGUUCUUGGCCUCCUGUUUCAACUGCUUUGGUUUCUCACGUGGAUAACCCCAAAAAACCAAAGAAAGGACCUAAAAGUAGAAAGGCUUCAGAGGGUGAGAUCAAAGUUUUAAGAUUUUUAAAUUUUUAUGAAAAAUUUGCUGGCUUGAAUCAGACCAAUCUGAUUUUGGCUCGAUCCAAAGAAGAGAGAAAAUAGUUUCAGUUUGGUACAGGCAUGUGGAGCUCCGAUUCAGUUUUGAUUUUGGAUUAAACCAGAGGAAGUGUAGCUGUCACAAGGAGUAUCUGUCAUGAAAGAAACAGACCAGCAUUGACCAACAGCAAUUGAAUUCCACAAUCCAAACUUUCCUAAUUUGACAUUCCUUCUCCCAAAACUAAAAACAUAAGCUUCCUCCACCUCUACUUCCCCGCAAUAAAAGGGCCUUUUCAACAACAAACAGAGUCUCCCCUCACCUCAAUCAAACCAGAGGGUCCCAGAGGGAGGGAGAGGGAGAGGGAGAGGUGGGGCAGGGUAGG